rnacentral:lncRNA from 1 species
GGAUUGCGAAGAGAUGUCGCCCAUAAGAAUAUAGCAAGAUUAUGCAAUGUAAUGGUGUCGUUUUGAAGUCUGCCAAGUGCCAAGGGUGUCUAUACCCUUCGCUGCACUCUUGUUUUAGAUGUUUGCCGCCGUUAAGUGUCUGAAAUUUCCCGUUGCAACUGACUGGUAUGCGGUUGUUACUGCACUGCAGCCCAGUCGAUUGUUCUUGGGAAGUUAGUUUAGUUAUCUUAUGAUGUAGUUUGAGAUGGAACUCGGACAACUAUUUGCUGCUUUCGGUUAAUUUAUAAGGCCUUGUCCAACUUUCAACCUUAUUUCGGUUUUUUUUUAGUACAUUGUUAUUUUUAUACUAAAGGAGUGAGAAUGUGUCAAUCAGAUAAAUCAACCAAUGAAUGGGACCCAAUGGUUGUUAUGAAAUGAAAUUUUAUCCUAUUUGAUUUCAUAAAAACAUAUCAACGAAUGAGAUUGAUGCAAAAGCGCUUAAGUGAUGAAAUUUAACUUUGUCAGAAUUUGAAUUUUUUUAGGUUAAAAAUUUUAUAAAUUAAAAUUUAAGAUAACACUCCAAAAAUCAAGUUAAGAUAAAAAUAAAUUUACCGUGUAAUUAAAUUACCACAAAAUAAAAUAUAUAGCUCUAUAUAGAGCCAGAAAGAUAUAUAGCCCCUUAUUGGGACAAAUUAUUUUUUUUUAGAUUCUCAAAGAUUCCUCGGAACUCUAAAUUGGACUAUAUCCAUCACCUUUCUAGCUCCAUAUAGAGCCCCUCAUUGGGAAUGCUCUUGUACUGCAUUCUUUCCUACUUCAAAUUGUUUUGCUAAUUAGUUUUUUGCUCGUCUAGUACAUCUUGCAGAUGACAUGGUUAAUAUGUCAAAGAUCUAAGUAUAAUAUUAAUAAAUAAAUUUGUAAUAGUAUGAGUGUGUAUUGGUGAUGUUACUAAUUAAUGUAUUAUUCUAUGCAGAAAGAAUUAAUAUUUCAUAAACCUUGGUAUAGCAUUAACAAAAAAUUUCACAUAACAUGAAUGACUGUGUUGGUAACAUUUCGUGACAGUGUGUCGUGCUGGUGAAGAACUUGUGCACAAUUUGACAUGAAACACGUCGUAAACUUGAGAUUGGAAUAAGUAUAAAAAAAUGUACGUUUACAAAGACCAAGUACGAAUUCCUUGAGAUUCUUUCCCUCCAUUUUUAAAACAAAUAUACACCACUAUGAAAGCCAAAUCUGGUAGAUUUGCUUCAACCCAUGUAAAAAUUCCUUUCUUGCUUUCAUCUUUCCUUUCCUGCAAAAGGCAUAAAAGAAUAAAGGAUGUUCUUUCUCCUCCCACGGCAUUUUCAGCCAUAUGUAACCUAACCACUCUUCUCCCUGCAUUUUUAAGUUCCCUAUAAAUUCACCAAUAAACAAAACUAACGUUCAUAAAACUAAAUCAACUUCGAAGAUCGCUUGUUGAUCGAUUGUUCUAAUUAGUUGAUUGAAAUGGCUUCCACCUCACCGCCUUCAAAGAGAUCUGAUACGAUUGCAGAAACCAUGCCAGAAGCACUCAGAGAGAGCCGCUUUCAUAUGAAGAAAUGUUUUGCCAGGUUUUUUUUUUUUUUUUUUUCCGUACAAUAUUUGUAUGUACUAUAUGUUUGUGAAAUUGGAAUGUUGAUGUUCUUGUUUAACUAAUUAACAAAUUUAAACAUGCAUGCAAAAAGUUUUGGAACGGGGAAAAGGCUAAUGAAGCCGCAGCAUAUAAUGGAGGAGCUGGAAAAAUCGAUAGAAGAUAGGCAUGAAAGAAGCAAGGUCUUGGAGGGUUUACUUGGUUACAUCCUCAGUCGCACUCAGGAGGCAGCUGUUGUUCCACCCUAUGUUGCUUUUGCAGUGAGACCGAAUCCCGGUUUCUCAGAAUUUGUUAAGGUGAACGCAGAUGAUCUAACAGUGGAUGGCAUUUCUGCUACCGAAUACUUGAAGUUCAAGGAAAUGAUCUUUGACGAGAGCUGGUACGUUUUAUACGCAUACGUAUGUAGCUACGUGUAUAUAUAUAUAUAUAUAUAUAUGCAUGACUAAUGUCAAAUUAAUUUGAGUGAUGCAUGCAUGCAACAGGGCGAACGAUGAAAAUGCCUUGGAAUUAGAUUUUGGUGCCAUCGACUUCUCUACUCCUCGAAUGACGCUUCCUUCUUCAAUCGGAAAUGGACUUAACUUCGUCUUAAAGUCAAUCUCAUCAAGGCUCAGUACUCAUGCCAGCUGCUCCGAUUAUGCUAAAUCCCUUCUUGACUACUUAUUACGGCUUAAUUAUCACGGAGAGGUUGAAAUCAUAUAUGUUAAUUUUGUUUGAGAUCAAUUGAUUAAUUACUUGAUCUUUUGCGGCCUCUCUAUUAAUUUUUCUUAAUUAAAGUACAAUAUAUGUAUAUGCAGAAUCUUAUGAUCAAUGAAAGUCUAGAUACCGUUGCAAAACUUCAAACUGCAUUGAUCCAAGCAGAAGUACUCGUCUCCACACUUCCAAAAACCACACCAUUUCCGAGUUUUGAGCAAAGGUAAUCUUUCAUGAACCUUAACUAAAGAAUGUAUGUGUUAUAUGCUGCAGAUCUUGAUCGUUUAUAUACGAACACAUGUUGUAUUCAAUCUUGAGCAGGUUAAAAGUGUUGGGUUUUGAGAAAGGAUGGGGAGAUACAGCAGAAAGAGUUGGAGAGACAAUGAGGCUGCUGUCAGAAGUAUUCCAAGCGCCAGACUCGGUGAUGUUGGAGUCGUUGUUUAGCAGACUUCCCAACACAUUCAACAUCGUUAUCUUCUCUCCUCACGGCUACUUUGGCCAGUCGGAUGUCCUUGGAUUGCCCGACACGGGUGGACAGGUGGUUUAUAUUCUUGAUCAAGUGAGAGCUUUGGAGGAAGAGUUGCUCCUCAGAAUUAAACAACAAGGCCUUGCUGUGAAGCCUCAGAUUCUUGUGGUGAGCUGGACUACGUAUACAUAAACAAAAGAAUACUGAAUAAUGCUGUACACGUUGCAAUUCUAAUUUGUACUUUGUAUGUACAAUGUUUGUACGUAUGUGUCAUGUACACAGGUGACACGACUGAUACCAGACGCUCGAGGAACAAAGUGCAACCAGGAGUUGGAAGCUAUCAUCGACACUAAGCACUCCCACAUCCUUAGGGUUCCAUUCAGGACAGACAAAGGCGUUCUCCACCAAUGGGUUUCUCGUUUCGAUAUCUACCCUUAUCUCGAGACAUUUGCACAGGCAUUCAUCUUCUCACUCUAGCUAUCAUGUAUAUGAUCAAUUUAUUCUUCUGAUCUCAUUUCUCCGGUACUAAUUUAUGUGAGUUUUUGGAAAGAAAAAUAGACGAUUUACAUAUUUAUUCUGUUCUCAUCGUUGUUUAUUAGGAUGCAACUUCAAAGAUCUUACAACACAUGGAAUGCAAACCGGACCUCAUAAUUGGGAACUACAGUGAUGGAAACUUGGUGGCCUCUUUGAUUGCUUCUAAACUUGGAAUCACUCAGGUCUAAGUCGACACAUAACCACCUCCUUCGAUUCAUAAAUGCUGGUUAAAAACUUGAAUCUCAACUUAAUUAACCUGUUCCAAGUAAUUAACUUUCUGCAGGGAACGAUUGCGCAUGCGCUAGAAAAGACCAAGUACGAAGAUUCUGAUGCCAAAUGGAAGGAAUUUGAUCCUAAAUACCACUUCUCUUGUCAGUUCACAGCUGACAUAAUCUCUAUGAAUUGUGCUGAUUUUGUCAUAACAAGCACAUUUCAAGAAAUUGCCGGAGGGUUAGUAGCCUUUCAUGCCAAAACCAAAAUUAACAUACAAGGUUGAUAUGAUCUUCUCCUUAUUCGAUCAAUGUGUUGUUUUCGUGUUGCAGCAAGGACCGACCUGGACAGUACGAAAGCCAUACAGCAUUUACAAUGCCAGGACUCUAUCGAGUUGUGUCAGGCAUUGAUGUGUUUGAUCCAAAGUUCAACAUUGCUGCCCCUGGAGCUGACCAAUCCGUCUACUUUCCCUACUCCGAGAAACAAAGACGAUUUACCAAGUUUCAACCUGCCAUCGAAGAACUCCUCUACACGAAAGAGGAAAACGAUGAGCACAUGUAAUUAAUUCUUACACAUUUAUAAAUUCUUGCACAUUUGUUGUGUCAAUUUCUUAAUGAAAACUCUUAAAACAAUAAACAUGCUUGGAACAGAGGAUUUUUGGCAGACAAGAAGAAACCUAUCAUAUUCUCAAUGGCAAGGCUGGACACAGUGAAGAACCUCACAGGACUCGUUGAGUGGUUCGGAAAGAACAAGAGGCUGAGGAAUUCUGUCAAUCUUGUAAUUGUCGGGGGAUUCUUCGAUCCAUCUAAAUCCAAAGACAGGGAAGAAAUUGCUGAAAUCAAGAAACUUCAUGCCUUGGUGCAAGCAUAUCAACUUAGCGGUCAGUUCAGAUGGAUAGCGGCUCAGACUGAUAGAUACCGAAAUGGGGAGCUGUAUCGGUGCAUUGCAGACACAAAGGGAG